rnacentral:rRNA from 1 species
UACGAAGGGUGCAAACGUUGCUCGGAAUCAUUGGGCGUAAAGCGCACGUAGGCGCCUCAAAAGUUGGGUGUGAAAGCCCUCGGCUUAACCGAGGAAGUGCGCCCAAAACUACGAGGCUUGAGUACCGGAGAGGGUGGCGGAAUUCCCGGUGUAGAGGUGAAAUUCGUAGAUAUCGGGAGGAACACCAGCGGCGAAGGCGGCCCCCUGGGCCGCCGUCCUGACGCUGAGACGCGAAGGCCAGGGUAGCGAACGGG